rnacentral:rRNA from 1 species
UACGGGGGGAGCAAGCGUUUGUUCGGAUUUACUGGGCGUAAAGGGCGCGUAGGCGGCGCAACAAGUCACUUGUGAAAUCUCCGGGCUUAACCCGGAGCGGCCAAGUGAUACUGUCGUGCUAGAGUGCGGAAGAGGCUACUGGAAUUCUCGGUGUAGCGGUGAAGUGCGUAGAUAUCGAGAGGGAACACCUGCGGCGAAGGCGGGUAGCUGGGCCGACACUGACGCUGAGGCGCGAAAGCCAGGGGAGCGAACGGG